rnacentral:rRNA from 1 species
GACGAACGCUGGCGGCGUGCCUAAUACAUGCAAGUUGAGCGCUGAAGGUUGGUACUUGUACCAACUGGAUGAGCAGCGAACGGGUGAGUAACGCGUGGGGAAUCUGCCUUUGAGCGGGGGACAACAUUUGGAAACGAAUGCUAAUACCGCAUAAAAACUUUAAACACAAGUUUUAAGUUUGAAAGAUGCAAUUGCAUCACUCAAAGAUGAUCCCGCGUUGUAUUAGCUAGUUGGUGAGGUAAAGGCCCACCAAGGCGAUGAUACAUAGCCGACCUGAGAGGGUGAUCGGCCACAUUGGGACUGAGACACGGCCCAAACUCCUACGGGAGGGAGCAGUAGGGAAUCUUCGGCAAUGGACGAAAGUCUGACCGAGCAACGCCGCGUGAGUGAAGAAGGUUUUCGGAUCGUAAAACUCUGUUGGUAGAGAAGAACGUUGGUGAGAGUGGAAAGCUCAUCAAGUGACGGUAACUACACAGAAAGGGACGGCUAACUACGUG